rnacentral:rRNA from 1 species
UAGGGAAUCUUCCGCAAUGGACGCAAGUCUGACGGAGCAACGCCGCGUGAGUGAAGAAGGAUUUCGGUUCGUAAAACUCUGUUGUUAGAGAAGAACAGCGCAUAGAGUAACUGUUAUGCGUGUGACGGUAUCUAACCAGAAAGCCACGGCUAACUACGUGCCAGCAGCCGCGGUAAUACGUAGGUGGCAAGCGUUGUCCGGAUUUAUUGGGCGUAAAGCGAGCGCAGGCGGUCAAUUAAGUCUGAUGUGAAAGCCCCCGGCUCAACCGGGGAGGGUCAUUGGAAACUGGUUGACUUGAGUGCAGAAGAGGAGAGUGGAAUUCCAUGUGUAGCGGUGAAAUGCGUAGAUAUAUGGAGGAACACCAGUGGCGAAGGCGACUCUCUGGUCUGUAACUAACGCUGAGGCUCGAAAGCGUGGGUAGCAAACAGG